UGUCCGAAUGCUUAGCUAUGUGACACUGGGUGAGAUGCUUAACCUCUUUCAACUGAAGUUUCUUUAUCUAAAAAAUAAGAAUAUGUCUGCUUCAAAAGGCUGCUCUGAGGAUGAACUAUUAUAGUGAAAGUGAACCCCUCAGCAUGGAGCAUUUGUUCCAAGACUAGUCCCCCAUAUUCUCAAAACAUUAGCCUAAAAUUAUAUUCUAGGCUCUGGUACUAGGUAUUUGGGGCUAUAUGUAUUCUCUUCUCAGAAAUGUCAUGUGACAAUGGAACUGGGAAGUUGAGAAGGAUGGGGGCAGCUGUGCGGUGUAUUGCUAAAAGAGAGGCAUUUUAGAACAUCACAGCUGUAGAUACUUACUGUUCCCACCCCACCCACUGCAUCCCUUCCCUUCUUCUCAUAUUGGUACCAUGGGAAUCACUCUCUCUUCCAUUCUCAGUCCGUGCACUUUGAAUGUAGUUGACUGAAUACCGAACUCCAUGGAAGGACUCAGCCUGGAAAACCAAGCAUCUCAUCAGAUCUGAAGAGAUACACUCUGGAAAGCUUUGCUGCAGCUGUGAGAGGAAGCAUGUGCUCUUUUCCACUGAAAUUGAACCUUGAAACUUGCAGCUACUGAGAGCCAUUUUGCUAGCGUGGGAGUGUAAGAAAUAACACAGUGCGCUGGGAACAGAGUUGAGAGAUGGAGAGACACAGUGUCCUGGUUGUAUCGCGUUAGUCCAUGGAUCCAGCCUCACUAAGCCAUGUACGACCCCGUCUUAGUCAGGGCUGCUAGAACAAAGUACCAGAGACCGAGUAGCUUAUAAACAACAGAAAUUUAUUUCUCGUGGCUCUGGAGGCCGGAAGUCUGAGAUCAGAGCGCCGGCAUGGUUGGGUUCUGGUAAGGAUUCUCUUCCGUGUCACACACUUCUCAUUGUGUCCUCACUUGGUGCAGAGAGGGACUGGACAGAACCAAGACUACCACCGCCAUUUUGCAAGCUGCCUCAUUCACAAGCAUCAAUGACAGAAAGUCAGGCACAGAGAGAAGAGCCGCAGUGCCCCCUGUUCAGCGUGUGACACCUGCACCCACAGUGCUCCUAGAGUCGCCCUCACCACUUGCUUGUCCUCUUGGACACAACCACUUAAUAACCGAAGGCCAUAUUCUGGAGAUUGCUGGCAGAUUCUUUUUCUCUGAAGCCUUUAGUAAGACUGGUAAAACGCAAUUCAUAAAACGGACUGGUGUCGGUUCCCUUUUCUCUCAUCCUUGUAAAAGCGCUGAUGGAGGGGCCAGUGCAAAGGAACAGCAGGCUGCAGGAGAAGGAAGGGAGGCCGUGGGGCCCGCACCAGCUCAUCGCAGAUCUGAGAAGGAACGCCAGGCGGGGAAAUCCAUCCUACAGAACACAGUCUACACAGGCCUGGAGAGUCCUUUUCAGUCAGGACUUUCAAGGGCUGCUCUGAGUCCUACCUGCGAGUUGGAUAACGUCCAGGUGUCCGUGCAAUCCGCAUUCCUCAGCCCGGCACUCAAGGCUCUCCAUCAUCUGACCCCAAGCUAGCUCUCCAGUGCCCUCCCCCGCCCCCCUUUCCCAUAGUAACCAACUACCUUCCUCAGACCCACCCCCUCCCAGCUCUCAACCACGUCCGGGAGGGCUCCCACAGCUGUGACUUUGACCUUUCCACCUGACAAACUUCUUACCUCCUUUCCCCUUUCCUAAUUUCAACAGGGAUCAAAUCCAUUCUCUCUCGUCUCGUGACGCUGUCCCCGACCUCCUCAGUCAAAAGCGGCUUGUCUUUCCUCCCAACACUUUCGCUCACGGUGCUCUCUCUUCUCACGGCGCUUCCACACUUCCUUGCACGAUUACCUGUCGCUUAGUGCGCCUUCCAUUUCCGCGAUGAGGUUGUUUACUCCUUGAGGUCAAGCGUGACUCUACCUUAUGUUUCGUAAUCAACCCGGUAGUUCCUGGCACAGUGAUCUGUGCAGAGUAAAUGUUAAAAAAAAUAGUUUGCACUUGAGGAUUGAGGCUGAGUAACACGUCCCCUGCACGUGUCUUUGCUCACAAUCUCUCUGGAGAACGGAGUUCGUAACUGGGCGUCAGAUCCGGGAGAGGCAGACAGGUGGAUGUCGGGGAAAGAAAGACAAAUGGCUAAAUGUUAAGCGGGAGGGGCUGAAGGGAGGGGCCAGGUCAGCAGAGCUGAAAGGAAGCACGUGGGACAGCAGACGCCGCGUCUGCGCAGAAGCUCGGCUCCCAGGACGCCCAGGAAGCGCGCCUCCCACGCCCCACCGCACGGGCCGCCCAGGCGCACAGGUGGGAGCUCGCUCGGUCGGGUUCCCCCGCCACUGACGCAGCAGCUCCCGGCAGCCGGAAAGGGUCCACCCCGCGAGGAGGACAGCUCAGCACGUCCGCGGGAAGGCCUGAGGCAGCCUCGGGGGCCGCACGCCUCGAAGGGCCGGCGCGGGCCUGCGCAGAGGGCGGACGGAGCGGCGCUCGGGACCCGGCGUGUGGCUCGGGGAGGCCACUCGGCACCUUGGGGGCUCGCUUCCCGCAGCCUGGCUGAUAGGAGGUACCGCCUCCCUGCCCUCCUUCCCAGCACAGACUCUGUCCAUGCGGGCAGAAUAUGAUCAACUGAAGUGCCUUUCCCAUCGUUCCUUGCAGAUGGGGUGAGAUCAUGGUUCAGAAAUCACUGAAGUGGGUUUUUUGGAAAUCUCUUUACAGAGAACCUAGAAUCUCCUUUAAAGAGAGUUAGGAGGUGUGCCCCUCUGCAUUUCAGCUUCCUUUCUUCCUCCUCCCACCUGGAACAUGGAUGUGAUGGUGGGAGCUAAAAUAGCCAUCUUGCUACCAUGAGGCUAUCAAGAGACUAGAGGCCCUUCACUGUGUCUGGUGAAGAGAGAGGUGAAAGAAGCCUGGGUCUCUGAUAGCCAUGGAGCUGGACCAGGAUUGACCAUCUCUGGAGAUUUUAAUGUGAAAAAAAUAAACCCCUUUCUUGUUUCGGCCGCUAUUUUUCCCGUCUCUUUACCAGUAACCAAAUGCAAUUCCUACUUCACAGCAUUGUUAUAUAAAUUAAAUGAGACAGUAUAUGUAUAAAGGGUCCAUAUAUGUGCUAUUAUCCUUUCUUCAUACCAUUCAUAAAAAACAUUAUGGACUAAAUAAGGCUCAGGACAUCAAUUUAUUAAAACCCUGUCAUUUUAGUUAGUUUUUGUUUUUUUUGGCUUACUUGUUUGGUUGACAAAUAUUUUAAAAUAUUACUACUUCACAUAUAUAUAUCACGAAUAAUUGCAAACUCUCUUCUUCUACUUGUCAACUGGCCCCUCUGGGUUUUUGUUGUUGUUGUUCUUUGUUUUGUUUCAUUUUUUAGCGUUUGUGGACGCGCAUGGGGUCACAGAACUUAUCCACACACAGAAAGUCCUUGCCUGGCUCUGCCUGGCCAGCGCCCAUCCAUUCUUCCAGCUCAUCUGACUCCCUCCGUCUACAGUAGCCACUGUCCACCAGUGCUGCUCCCAGAUCCUUCCGUGCCUGAGCCCCUCAUCAGUUAACCUCACCAAAUGAUUCAGCGCUGAGUAAUUUUCUUCUUCUCUUGCCUUUCAGUUGUUUGAUAUGUGGAAUUCUUAUCCUCUGCACUAAACUGUUACUUCCUUGAGAGAAGAGACUACAUUCUUUAAGGAGUGUCCAAAUAAGAUCAGUGUCACGAGGCACGGAAGGACAUCAUUUUGUUGUUUAGAUUCAGCACAACUUAGGGUUGCUUCUCCUGUCCCCCAGUCGCUAAUAGUGUCCAGCACAGAGCUUGGCACGGCAAAGAUGCCUAAUAAAUUCAUGCUAAAUGGAAUUGAAAACCCUUUGCCUUGUUUAGGUCAUGAUGCCAGAAUGAAAAACAUUCAAAUGAUAUUCAAUCAAGAAUUUUCGUCUGAAAAGUCAAAGUAUUGCCCAACGAACUUGAUGUAUGGGGAGAACAAGUGCAACUGAAAAGAACACAGAGCUAGCCAGGACGAAGUGGAAAAGUACCAGGCUGGUCAAGAACCAUUUCCCAGUGCUCUGUGUCCUGCACUGACCAAAGAAUUUGUUCAAUCCAAUCAAGGAAGUCCUUCGGUUGAAUGCCAGUGAGCUCCUCUCCACCUCAGGGAGGCAAAGGCUGAGCUUGCUGUCUCAGAAGAAGCCCAUAUCUGCAUAUUUUAAAUUUUCUCUUAGGAUGGCUGGCACAGAACAAUUAUCAUUUCCACUAUCUCUUGUUUGGAGGAGGUAUUUUCAUGCUAAGUCAGAGAUUAAGUAUAACAUUUAAUUUAAUUUUCAGUUUUCCAUUUCCUUUACAGCUUUGAAACAGAAAUUACUUUUAUUAAAGUAUGAAUUGAAAGUCAAAACAAAAUGUGGUGGCAGAAUUUCAAGUGCAUAACAAAAAAGAGAGUCAAAAGGUAAGGAAUUCAUUUCCACAUCUGAGGAUUCAAGCAAGUUGCCAGUAAACUAAAAUGUAACUAAUAAUAAUUCAAUGAAUAAUUUUAAGGGUGUCCAGCAAUUUUCUGUCAAUAAAGGUGGAGCAUACAGAGAAAAUUCUUUAUUUUUAUUAUACAGUGAAUAUAUGCCCCUCAGAGAAAAAAUAGGAAAUAUAGAUGCAGAUAAAGAAAAAAAAGAGAAGAAAUAUUUUUAAAUCAUCCAAGAGCCCCCCACGGAGACGAGAAGAGCAACUGUCGCCAUCUGGAGGUAAACCAAUUGAGAGUAUAUCAGCUGUCAACAAGAUGAUGAGUUGGAUCCUGCCUGACCUCCCACAGCUGAGGCUGAGGCCAGUUGAGGGUAAAGGCAGUCAUGACUUCACACUCUAGCCGUCAGGUCUGGGGCCAGCCUUCCUCCUGCGGCCCCACUGGGAAGUCCGGUGCAGCCCUGGCACCAAGUUCACUCUCUCCCCACCCACGCUUUACAGAAGAUGAAGAGGAAAGGCAAGAGGAGGCUUCUUCCUCUCCCACGUGGAAGAAGAGGAGGGUGUUUUCUCCUGCCUGAAGCCCAGUGAGGGGAACUCCAAAAGAAUCCUCCCUAAGUGUUGGAGGUGACUGUAAGGUGGGACACCAGCAACUUAUUCUCAGCUAGGUGCUGGCUCAGGGACAGACUCAUGUAUGUGCUUCCUAUAUGGGAACAGACCAUGCUGAGGGUCCUUUCCUUGGGAAAGCACUUGGGGAUCUGAGAAUCUAGGAAUGUAGCAGUUAGAUUUUAGCAACUUUUUCCAUCUAUGGGGGAAAGAGGGUUUGCUUGCCAUAUGUCCCUUGAGGUUUGGGGGUACACUUAGCUUGGAGAGUUCUGAAAGUAGGAGACUAUCUUUGAAAGGAUGUAUCAAUGGUGCUGGAUAUAAAGUACUUGGAAAGAAGAGUGGUCCAACCCCCACUCCAUUCUUGUUUUCUCCGUGUCUUGUAGGGCACAAAAAGACACUGGUAGUUUUUCUGGCUCCACAUAAAAAAGCAUGGGAAUUAUGAGACAGGAGCCUUGAGCCUGUCCAAAUGUGUUUUUUGAGGGCCAAGUAAUGAGGUAUUCAACUUUGAGAGGGCAUUGAGAAUACAUAGAGCAGGUGGGCCGACACUCCUGCUCUCUGGAG
rnacentral:lncRNA from 1 species